UGAACUGUUCCAGUUUGCCAUUGUUUGCCUGU
rnacentral:piRNA from 1 species